AGCUAGGGGAUAUAGGGGUCUUUAUACAGUAGAGCGGCUGUGAGCGAUGAGCAGUCUUGGCAGAUCUUUUUUUGCCGGCCCCCCACCUCUUGUUUUAUUUCUAUCAGCAUGAGGGCCCCUACUGGUUUAAAUUGGGCCCAGUUUCCACAGAUAAUUCACUUACUCAAAUGUUUUUGAAUAUUUCAGGAACUUCUCAAGCUACAAGGCAAGUCUCUUGCUGCCUUGGAUCAGAGCUGCCCUCUGGGCUGGGGCUGUUGGUGUAGCUGAAGCUUCUGGAGAUGGAAUGUGACACCUCCUGUGCAGUCUCCCCAGCAUGAUUCUGUGGGGAAGACCCUGUUCUCCCAGCUGAUGCUGGGGGUGAGGUCAGAUGUAUCCCUGACUCCUGAGACCUUUCUGUUGGGGCCUGGCAACACCCAGCAUGGAAGGGCGGUUGAGUGGCACAGGGGAGCUGACCCUGCACUGGGAACCCCCUGAAAUGGCCUGAGGCAGGUAGAACUGAAGUCAUGAUCCUCUUGGGAACUAGAAUAUGCUCCAGUCUCCAAACUGACUCCAGUGCUGAGAUGCCAGUGAUGGCCCAUCUCUUCCAGGCCUGGUGUGCCCUCAGCGUUAGACCAAUGCGGAGCUGGGGGUGGAGGGCAGGUCUCCUGGGUUCCCUUCCCUGUACCUGUUUGCCCUGGCAGUUCUCCAGGCUGGGCUACUUCCUGCUCUGCUGUCUGGAAGGAAGUCAUGGUGGAAUCUGGGGAUGGCUGCGGGCUCUAAUGCCUCUCCCAUAUCUAUGGAUCUUUUGGCAUCUGUAGGCUUUUUGGCUUCCAGCUAUGAGUCAGGCAGCCCAGUUGGCUGUAGCAAGGCUCCCAGGGUGAAACUGAGGGUGCAGACCUGGGGCUGGGCCUGAGCCCCUUGUGCCCAGACUUUCCUCCCUUGGGAAAGGCCUUCCUGUGCCCCAGCAAUGGGGAGGCAGGAGGAAUUGCACCUGACUGGGGAGGUGCAGGUGGUUCUAAAACAGCUGUGGGUAGGCUGGGCCCACCUCAACCUCUGCUGUCUUGGAGCAGGGAGUCACCCCCCUCUAUUUCCUAGAGUCCUGCUCUGUGGUCCCUGGGACUGAAAUCUGUUGGGGGGAGGCAGCCUGGGCAGAACCCUGGCUUGGCCUGUGUGCUGUGAGAGAGGUGGUUUCAGCAUGGCAGCCACAUGGGGCAGGAUGAGGGUGGGCAAAUAGAACAGUUGAGCAAUAGAUGAAGGCAUGGGCCUGAGGCAGCUGCUGGCAUGUUAGGGAAUGGGCACCAAACUGGCUGGGCAAGCUUGAGGAAGCAUGGUUGUGGCAAUGAAUGUGUUGAAUGUGCAGAUGCUCAGGUAAUGAGCCAUGCAUUAUAAAGUGGUGGUUCCCUUCCACUUGGUGGGGUGCCCUCAUUGAAGCAUCA